rnacentral:rRNA from 1 species
ACGUAGGGGGCGAGCGUUAUUCGGAAUUACUGGGUGUAAAGGGUAUGUAGGCGGCCCUUCAAGUCGCGUGUCAAAGUCCAGUGCUCAACGCUGGGUGUGCGCGCGAUACUGACGGGCUUGAGGGCUGGAGAGGAGAGCGGAAUUCCCGGUGUAGUGGUAAAAUUCGUAGAGAUCGGGAGGAACACCGGCGGCGAAGGCGGCUUACUUGACAGUUUCUGACGCUAAGACGCGAAAGCGUGGGGAGCAAACAG